rnacentral:misc_RNA from 1 species
CUAUCGUCCCCGGCAGCAAGAAGCCCAGUGAGGAUGCUGCCGAGAUCGCCCGGAUCGUCCAGGAAGUCGGGCUUCCGGUGAUGCUGAAGGCAGCGGCCGGCGGCGGCGGCAAGGGUAUGCGUGCCGUUUCCGAUCUCGAUGGCCUUGCCAAUGAGAUCGAAUCGGCCAUGCGUGAGGCGAAGAAUUCGUUCGGCUAUCCCGGACUGAUCGUCGAAAAACUGGUCGAACGCGGGCGCC